ACCAUCAUAUACAACAACAUCAUCAGCAUCAACAACAUCAUCAGCAUCAGCAACAUCAUUAAUAACAUCAUCUACACCAUCAUCAGCAACAUCAUCACCACCCCUAGCAUCAGCAGCAAUAUCAUCAACAUCAUCAGAAGCAGCAUCAACAACAUCAUCAGCAUCAACAACAUUAUCAGCAACAUCAACAACAACAUAAUCAGCAAUCAGCAUCAACAACAUCAUCAGCAGCAUCAACAACAACAUCAGCAUCAACAUCAUCAUCAGCAUCAACAACAACAUCAGCAUCAACAACAACAUCAGCAACAACAACAACAGCAACAUCAACAACAACAUCAACAACAUCAACAACAACAUCAUCAACAACAUCAACAUCAACAACAUCAUCAGCAUCAACAACAACAUCAGCAACACCGUCACCAUCUAGAACAGAGGGGAGGGAAGACUGCGGCCUAGUCGGCCUCGGGCCAUCCCGAGUUUUCCUAGCGGACCCGCCGCGCCCGGAGCGCCUCCCCCGGCAGGAGUCGGGAUCGAAUAACGGCAGACAGAGCCGGCCAUGAAGCCGGUCCUCAUCUCACUGUUCGUCUUCCUCCUUCUGGAUGCGGCGUUGGCUGUCAAGCUCCAGCUCACUCUCCCGAAGAGUCUGUCUGUGAGGGAGGGAGAGAACGUCACUCUCCCCUGCUCCUUCUCCCCACCGGCCACACACCUGGACCACGUCGUCGUCCAGUGGUUCACGAUGCCCAGACGCUACGCAGAGAACGUCACCAGUGGAGACAUGACCUUGAUCUACUUCUCGGGCGACGAGACGGCGGACGACUCGAGCGUCGCCAAGUCCGCGGGAGACGUGCUCGCGGGAGACUGCUCCGUCGGCAUCCCCAACUUCCCCGGGAGCCUCGGCCCCGUCGCCCUGUGCCGCGUCGACUGCCGCCGCUGUGACGCCGCGGGGAACGCCGCCGUGCAAGCGGAGCUGCUGCUGCAGCUGCAGGACGUGACGGCUGCGGCCCCACGGCGGCCACACGGCGGGGCUCUGAGCGAGGCCACCGCCGCCCCUCCAGGGGAGACGCCGCCGCACAGGGCAGGGCUGCUGGUGGCCGGGGUGCUGGCGCCUGUGGCUGUCGUGGUCUACGUCGUCUCCGUCUGCAAGGGGAACAACACGAGGAGGAGGAGGAGGAGGAGGAGACGCCGUCGGCCUUCAGGGCCCGGGCAACCGGAUCGCCCGGCCCCCCCUGACAGUGGCGCUGGGAAUGCAGAACGUGCGUAGGGACAGGUACGUGGACGCGCAGCCGCCGAUGGACAGACGCGAAGAGAGAACAGGACGAGUGUCGGAGACCUUCGCCGUGUGAUGAUGUUCAGGCAGCUCGAUGGGCAGGCAGCCUCUGGGCUGGAAAGGAAUUCCAUCCCCGGACGCCAUCACAAGAGCCGUCGUGACGUCACUGCCACCUGUCAGCACAUGGCGGUUGGUAGUGACGGUGGUGGUGGUGGUGACUGUGGUAGUGGUGAUGGUGAUGACGGUGGUGGUGACGAUGACGGUGGUGGUGGUGACUGUGGUAGUGAUGAUGAUGGUGGUGGUGGUGGUGGUAGUGACGAUAACGGUGGUGGCGGUGACUGUGGUCGUGAUGAUGGUGAUGGUGGUAGUAGUGACGAUAACGGUGGUGGCGGUGACUGUGGUAGUGGUGAUGGUGGUGGUGGUGGUAGUGACGAUGACGGUGGUGGUGGUGACUGGUAGUGAUGAUGAUGGUGGUGGUGGUGGUAGUGACAUUGACGGUGGUGGUGGUGACUGUGGUCGUGGUGAUGGUGGUGGUGGUAGUGACGAUGACGAUGACGGUGGUGGUGGUGGGGGUGGUGGUGGGGGUGACAUUGACCUAAGGUUCACGGAAAGCAGUUCUAAAGCAAUACAUGUUCAAUGUAACUGCGUGUGUGUACGGUACUACUGUAUAGUGGUGAAGAACAGUGUGAAGUGGUAUGGGGACAGGGUGAUUAGAGAGAGACUGGUGCAUGC